GAUGAACGCUGGCGGCGUGCUUAACACAUGCAAGUCGAACGGUGAAGCAGGAGCUUGCUCUUGUGGAUCAGUGGCGAACGGGUGAGUAACACGUGAGCAACCUGCCCCUGACUCUGGGAUAAGCGCUGGAAACGGCGUCUAAUACUGGAUAUGUGAUGUGACCGCAUGGUCUGCAUCUGGAAAGAAUUUCGGUUGGGGAUGGGCUCGCGGCCUAUCAGCUUGUUGGUGAGGUAAUGGCUCACCAAGGCGUCGACGGGUAGCCGGCUUGAGAGGGUGACCGGCCACACUGGGACUGCGACACGGCCCAGACUCCUACGGGAGGCAGCAGUGGGGAAUAUUGCACAAUGGGCGGAAGCCUGAUGCAGCAACGCCGCGUGAGGGAUGACGGCCUUCGGGUUGUAAACCUCUUUUAGCAGGGAAGAAGCGAAAGUGACGGUACCUGCAGAAAAAGCACCGGCUAACUACGUGCCAGCCGCCGCGGUAA
rnacentral:rRNA from 1 species